ACUUUGGCUAAGGUUAAAAGCUU
rfam:Brome mosaic virus mRNA for coat protein